rnacentral:rRNA from 1 species
UACAGAGGGGGCAAGCGUUGUUCGGAAUUACUGGGCGUAAAGGGCGCGUAGGCGGUGUGUCAAGUCAGGCGUGAAAGCCCCGGGCUCAACCUGGGAACAGCGCUUGAGACUGCAUAGCUAGGGUGCGGAAGAGGGAAGCGGAAUUUCCGGUGUAGCGGUGAAAUGCGUAGAUAUCGGAAGGAACAUCAGUGGCGAAAGCGGCUUCCUGGUCCAGCACCGACGUUCAGGCACGAAAGCGUGGGGAGCAAACAGG